GAUGAACGCUGGCGGCGUGCCUAAUACAUGCAAGUCGAGCGAACAGACGAGGAGCUUGCUCCUCUGACGUUAGCGGCGGACGGGUGAGUAACACGUGGAUAACCUACCUAUAAGACUGGGAUAACUUCGGGAAACCGGAGCUAAUACCGGAUAAUAUAUUGAACCGCAUGGUUCAAUAGUGAAAGACGGUUUUGCUGUCACUUAUAGAUGGAUCCGCGCCGCAUUAGCUAGUUGGUAAGGUAACGGCUUACCAAGGCAACGAUGCGUAGCCGACCUGAGAGGGUGAUCGGCCACACUGGAACGGAGACACGGUCCAGACUACUACGGGAGGCAGCAGUAGGGAAUCUUACGCAAUGGGCGAAAGCCUGACGGAGCAACGCCGCGUGAGUGAUGAAGGUCUUCGGAUCGUAAAACUCUGUUAUUAGGGAAGAACAAAUGUGUAAGUAACUAUGCACGUCUUGACGGUACCUAAUCAGAAAGCCACGGCUAACUACGUG
rnacentral:rRNA from 1 species